rnacentral:rRNA from 1 species
AGAGUUUGAUCCUGGCUCAGGACGAACGCUGGCGGCGUGCCUAAUACAUGCAAGUCGAACGGGGUCCAAUUGGUGGCAACACCAAGGAAGACUUAGUGGCGAACGGGUGCGUAACACGUGAGCAACCUGCCCCGAAGACCGGAAUAACACCGGGAAACCGAUGCUAAUACCGGAUACCCCCAUUGGUCCGCAUGGAUCGAUGAGGAAAGGAAUCCGCUUUGGGAGGGGCUCGCGGACUAUCAGCUUGUUGGUGGGGUAAUGGCCUACCAAGGCGACGACGGUUAGCUGGUCUGAGAGGACGAUCAGCCACACUGGGACUGAGACACGGCCCAGACUCCUACGGGAGGCAGCAGUAGGGAAUCUUGCGCAAUGGGCGAAAGCCUGACGCAGCAACGCCGCGUGGGGGAUGAAGGCCUUCGGGUUGUAAA